CUAGAAAUUCCCUGACAGCUUGCAGGGCAAUUAGUUAGCCUGGAGGACGAUGGGAGACAGUUGAGACUCCAACUCAAGCCAGGUGGAAGGUGAGCUGACAUCUGAGCUUGUCCUCUGACCUCCAUGUUUGCCAUGACACACAUGUGCCCGAACUCACAUACAUGAGUAUCUGUAUGUACGUGUGUUAUUCACAUGUACAUGUGCAUCACAUACAUCCACACACAUAGAAAUUGUGACCGCUGAGCAAGGUGCUGUUGUCAGUUGAAGCCAGGUAUGUGAGCAGGGCAGGCUUACAGCAGUGGUGAGGUGUGAGCAGGGCAGGCUUACAGCAUUGGUGAGGUGUGAGCAGGGCAGGCUUACAGCAGUGGUGUAGUGUGAGUAGGGCAGGCUUACAGCAGUGGUGAGGUGUGAACAGGGGCAGGCUUAUAGCAGUGGUGAGGUGUGAACAGGGGCAGGUUUAUAGCAGUGGUGAGGUGUGAGCAGGGCAGGCUUACAGCAGUGGUGUGGUGUGAGCAGGCCAGGCUUACAGCAGUGGUGAGGUGUGAACAGGGCAGACUUAUAGCAGUGGUGAGGUGUGAACAGGGGCAGGCUUAUAGCAGUGGUGAGGUGUGAACAGGGGCAGGAUUAUAGCAGUGGUGAGGUGUGAACAGGGGCAGGCUUAUAGAAGUGGUGAGGUGUGAACAGGGCAGGCUUACAGCAAUGGUGAGGUGUGAGCAGGGCAGGCUUACAGCAGUGGUGAGGUGUGAGCAGGGCAGGCUUACAGCAGUGGUGAGGUGUGAAUAGGGGCAGGCUUAUAGUAGUGGUGAGGUGUGAACAGGGCAGGUUUAUAGCACUGGUGAGGUAUGAACAGGAUGGGUUUACAGCAGUUCUGAGGUGUGAGCAGGGCGAGUUUACAGCAAUGGUGGGGUGUGAGCAGUACAGGCUUACAGCAGUGAUGAGAUGCAGGUAGGACUGCUGGUCUUGGUCAUUUGUUACUGGGUCCCGGGCCACUUGAUCCUGUCACUUUUUACUGGGUCCCAGGAUUGGUGCUGACAGGCAGCCUGGAUAUGGAGCUAGGCAUCUUAGCUGCCCUGGUUGUCAUAGCCACCAGCA
rnacentral:lncRNA from 1 species